rnacentral:rRNA from 1 species
UAACCUAACUCCCCUGUAACAGACUAAGAGCUAUUUAAAGGAGGUACAGCCCCUUUAACAAAGGAUACAACCUUCACCAGCGGAUAACCCUACUUCACCUCACACCCGUGGGCCCUAAAGCAGCCACCCCUAAAGAGUGCGUCAAAGCUCUAAACUAAAAAAUCCAAAAACAACGCGACUCCCUACAUCCCUAGCAAGCCAACCUAUCACUAUAGAUGAACCAAUGCUAGAACGAGUAACCAGGAUACCACAUCCCCCAAGCGCCAGCCUACACACCAUUAACAGCACAGACCACAAUAUCACCCACCCCCUCCCCGACAAACAUUGAGCAUACCCUGUUAACCCAACUCAGGAGCGCAUGACUAGGACGAUUUAAAUCUGCAAAAGGAACUCGGCAAGCCCAAGGCCGACUGUUUACCAAAAACAUAGCCUUCAGCCAAACAAGUAUUGAAGGUGAUGCCUGCCCAGUGACGCCUAGUUUAACGGCCGCGGUAUCCUAACCGUGCAAAGGUAGCGCAAUCAAUUGUCCCAUAAAUCGAGACUUGUAUGAACGGCUAAACGAGGCCUUAACUGUCUCCUGCAGAUAAUCAGUGAAACUGAUCUCCCCGUGCAAAAGCGAGGAUAUACACACAAGACGAGAAGACCCUGUGGAACUUUAAAAUCAAUAGCCAUCACGCACUCAACACCAACCCUACUGGCCCACUACUGAUAGCACUGGCUAACAUUUUUAGGUUGGGGCGACCCUGGAGAAAAACAAAUCCUCCAAAACUAAGGCCACAACCCUUAACCAAGAGCUACCCCUCAACGUACUAACAGUACAUAGACCCAAUAAAAUUGAUCAAUGAACCAAGCUACCCCAGGGAUAACAGCGCAAUCUCCCCCAAGAGCCCCUAUCGACGAGGAGGUUUACGACCUCGAUGUUGGAUCAGGACAUCCUAGUGGUGCAACCGCUACUAA